CCAGGAGUGUAUCGCAUAAGUACGGCGAGUGAAGCGGAGAAGAGCUCAAAUUUGAAAUCUGCCGUGUUCAGUGCUUCCGAGUUGUAAUCUAUAAAGUCGUUUUCCGUGCCGGACUGUGUCCACAGUCCCUUGGAACAGGGUAUCAAAGAGGGUGAUAAUCCCGUACUUGACGACAAUGACCGGUGCUCUGUGAUACGUCUUCUACGAGUCGAGUUGUUUGGGAAUGCAGCUCACAAUGGGUGGUGAGUUCCAUCUAAAGCUAAAUAUUGGCGAGAGACCGAUAGCGAACAAGUACCGUGAGGGAAAGAUGAAAAGCUCUUUGAAAUGAGAGUUAAACAGUACGUGAAAUUGUUAAAAGGGAAACGAUUGACGUCAGUCGCGACUGAGAGGCUCAGCCGGUUCUGCCGGUGUAUUCCCCUCAGUCGGGACAACAUCAGUUUUGUUCGGUGGAUACUGGUAGUUGGAAGGUGGCACCCUCGGGUGUGUUAUAGCCAGCUGUCGCAUAAUCGGAUUGAGACAGAGGAAUGCAGCUCGCCUUUAUGGCCGGGGUUCGCCCACGUUCGAGCUUAGGAUGUUGACAUAAUGUCUUUAAACGACCCGUCUGAAAAAGGGGACCCAAA
rnacentral:rRNA from 1 species